GACGGAGGAUGCAAGCGUUAUCCGGAAUGAUUGGGCGUAAAGCGUCCGCAGGUGGCAGUUCAAGUCUGCUGUCAAAGACCGGGGCUUAACUUCGGAAAGGCAGUGGAAACUGAACAGCUAGAGUAUGGUAGGGGCAGAGGGAAUUCCUGGUGUAGCGGUGAAAUGCGUAGAGAUCAGGAAGAACACCGGUGGCGAAGGCGGGUCUCUGGGCCGAUAUUGACGCUGAGGAGCGAAAGCGUGGGGAGCGAACAGG
rnacentral:rRNA from 1 species